AAGCGACUGGGGGAGCCGAAGCUCCCCCCCAAAUUGGUGCGUGCUCUUUUUUUAUUAUUAUGGCGGGCUUGUUGUUUUUGUUGAUUUACCCGUUCCAUCCAGUCAAGGACUUUGGGAAAAUUUCCCAAGCUGGGAAUCAAGAGCAAACGGAUUUCUUUGGAUGCUGACGCUGCCAUGAUCACACAGUGACCCAACCAGUUCUGGCGCUGCCUUAGGGCAGUU
rnacentral:misc_RNA from 1 species